GCUGCCACCUUGAUAGUGUGAUGUCCAUCUCUUCUGGCUCUAAUAGGACAAAUCUGCAGACUCCUGUGAGAUUGAACCCUGGCAGGUGUACAGAAAACCUUUGGAUGCUACAGAAUGCCCUGGGCCCAGGCAGGGGAAUCAGCCUUCAACCUGGCCCCACAACACCUUCCCUGGAAGGAACUGAGCCUGAGACUACACCCCCUCUUCACCCUGCUCUAUGCACCUAUUAUGAUUAUUGAAAUAAAUGUCAUGAAAAUGA